AUUCUGGUUGAUCCUACCAGUAGUUAUAUGCUUGUCUCAAUGAUUAAGCCAUGCAUGUCUAAGUACACACGAAUUAAAAGUGAAACCGCAAAAGGCUCAUUAUAUCAGUUAUGGUUCCUUAGAUCGUUAACAGUUACUUGGAUAACUGUGGUAAUUCUAGAGCUAAUACAUGCAAUUAAAACACGGACCUUAUGGGACGUGUGCUUUUAUUAGGCUAAAACCAAGCGAUCGCAAGAUCGUUACAUUGGUUUAACUCUAGAUAACAUGCAGAUCGUAUGGUCUUGUACCGACGACAGAUCUUUCAAAUGUCUGCCCUAUCAACUUUUGAUGGUAGUAUCUAGGACUACCAUGGUUGCAACGGGUAACGGGGAAUCAGGGUUCGAUUCCGGAGAGGGAGCCUGAGAAACGGCUACCACAACUAAGGAAGGCAGCAGGCGCGUAAAUUACCCACUCCCAGCUCGGGGAGGUAGUGACGAAAAAUAACAAUACAGGACUCAUAUCCGAGGCCCUGUAAUUGGAAUGAGUACACUUAAAGUCCUUUAACAAGGACCAAUUGGAGGGCAAGUCUGGU
rfam:Drosophila persimilis strain MSH-3 cont1.015043, whole genome shotgun sequence.